CAGCCGCCGCGGGAAUACGUAGGUGGCAAGCGUUGUCCGGAAUUAUUGGGCGUAAAGGGAGCGCAGGCGGUUUAGUAAGUCUGAAGUUAAAGGCAUUGGCUCAACCAAUGUAUGCUUUGGAAACUGUUAGACUUGAGUGCAGAAGGGGAGAGUGGAAUUCCAUGUGUAGCGGUGAAAUGCGUAGAUAUAUGGAGGAACACCGGUGGCGAAAGCGUCUCUCUGGUCUGUCACUGACGCUGAGGCUCGAAAGCGUGGGUAGCGAACAGGAUUAGAUACCCCCGUAGUCCCUGUCUCUUAUACA
rnacentral:rRNA from 1 species